GAUGAACGCUAGCGGCAGGCCUAAUACAUGCAAGACGAACGGUAAGUUGAGUAGCAAUACUUAGCCAAGAGUGUCGUACGGGUGCGUAACACGUAUGCAACCUACCCUAUACAGGAGGAUAGCCUAGGGAAACCUGGAUUAACCCUUCAUAGUAUUAUUGGAUGGCAUCAUUUGAUAAUUAAAACUGAGGUGGUAUAGGAUGGGCAUGCGUCUGAUUAGUUAGUUGGCGGGGUAAUGGCCCACCAAGACGAUGAUCAGUAGGGGUUCUGAGAGAAAGAUCCCCCACACUGGCACUGAGAUACGGGCCAGACUCCUACGGGAGACAGCAGUAGGGAAUAUUGGGUCAAUGGAUGCAAGUCUGAACCAGCCAUGCCGCGUGCAGGAGAAGGCCUUCUGGGUUGUAAACUGUCUUUGCCGAGGG
rnacentral:rRNA from 1 species